rnacentral:rRNA from 1 species
AGUCGAGCGGCAGCACGGGUACUUGUACCUGGUGGCGAGCGGCGGACGGGUGAGUAAUGCCUAGGAAUCUGCCUGGUAGUGGGGGAUAACGCUCGGAAACGGACGCUAAUACCGCAUACGUCCUACGGGAGAAAGCAGGGGACCUUCGGGCCUUGCGCUAUCAGAUGAGCCUAGGUCGGAUUAGCUAGUUGGUGAGGUAAUGGCUCACCAAGGCGACGAUCCGUAACUGGUCUGAGAGGAUGAUCAGUCACACUGGAACUGAGACACGGUCCANACUCCUACGGGAGGCAGCAGUGGGGAAUAUUGGACAAUGGGCGAAAGCCUGAUCCAGCCAUGCCGCGUGUGUGAAGAAGGUCUUCGGAUUGUAAAGCACUUUAAGUUGGGAGGAAGGGCAUUUACCUAAUACGUAAGUGUUUUGACGUUACCGACAGAAUAAGCACCGGCUAACUCUGUGCCAGCAGCCGCGGUAAUACAGAGGGUGCAAGCGUUAAUCGGAAUUACUGGGCGUAAAGCGCGCGUAGGUGGUUCGUUAAGUUGGAUGUGAAAUCCCCGGGCUCAACCUGGGAACUGCUUUCAAAACUGUCGAGCUAGAGUAUGGUAGAGGGUGGUGGAAUUUCCUGUGUAGCGGUGAAAUGCGUAUAUAU